UCAAAAGGGGCAAAUCCAUCGUGUGCGUUGAAACUGGCAGCGACAGUAAAUAUCCAGCCCCGCUUUUGACAGCAGCCGUUGGAUGCGGAUGAUCAUUGAUUCAUACCGUUCUAAGUUUAAAGCAUGUUUUAUGUGGUGUGGUACCUUUGGUUCAAGACAGUGAAGAUAAAGGACAGGGAGGUCAGCUGCCAGACAACGUGUUUGGCAAGGAUGCAGUUGUUGAUCCAAAAUCAAC